AACGAACGCUGGCGGCAGGCCUAACACAUGCAAGUCGAACGAGUAAGAGCCGUAGCAAUACGGAGUUCUGCUAGUGGCGCACGGGUGAGUAACGCGUGGGAACGUGCCUUGGAGUUCGGGAUAACAGUUGGAAACGCUGCUGAUACCGAAUAUUCCCUCAGGGGGAAAGAUUUAUCGCUCCAAGAUCGGCCCGCGUAAGAUUAGGUAGUUGGUGGGGUAAUGGCCUACCAAGCCUACGAUCUUUAGCUGGUCUGAGAGGACGACCAGCCACACUGGAACUGAGACACGGUCCAGACUCCUACGGGA
rnacentral:rRNA from 1 species